GAGUUUGUGAGCCGAACCGGCGUGCGCGUUGAAAAAACGUUACCGUUGUGUGUUGUGUGGUGUGGUGUGCGCGCGCGGUGUGUGUUUUUAAUAACUCUUAUCAAAUUGCAUUCGUCGGUUAUGCCGUGCACGAAAUUACGAUUCAGAUUCGUGUCGUAUGCAAAGUAUGUGUAAAUGUGCAAAGUGCCACCGGGUGGAUUAGCGAACGAGCCUAUCGACGCAACGAAUUCCCACCUGUGAACGACUGCAAGCCACAGAUAUAGCCGAACAAAACGGAAUUUUCAGUCAAUUGUGCGCGCUUACGGAUCAAACGUCGUUGAAUGCGGGCGCUCAACGCUUUGGGAAUCGACAACAAACAGGCUAAUCUUGACAAGUGCGAUUGUCAACCGUGACUUAACAUUAGCACAAUUUUAACAAACACAGUGGGACGAAAUAAAAGUCGAUAAGAUGUGAUUGUUCAGCAGAGUGCUUCCGACUUCGACUGAUAACACUACAAAUAUUGCUUUUAAAAAAUAUUUUAAGUGACUUUUUUGAUAACGCAUAAAAAUUUUUGAAUUUUAACAAUGCCCGAGGAAAAUUUCCCGCAGAAGGAACAAAACGGAGUUGACGGUGCGUUCAAAACCGCCGAUGAGGAAAGCGAACCAUGUCUGGAGGAAAAGAGUAAAGGCCGCUUGUUUUGGACGAAAACUGAACAAAAGUUGCGUGAUAAAAGCGGCCUUACUAAGCAUGGCCUAUAUUACGUCGGCGGUUUAGCACUGUUUGCUUUCCUGCUGCUGAUUGUCGUCAUUGUAUUAUCGGCGUGUUGGCCCGCCACGCCGCACCGGUUUCAAGUCUGCAACACUGAGUCAUGUCUGCGCGCAGCUACACAGGUCAGACAAUAUUUAGACGAAUCAUCUGAGCGUUGUAAUGUACGCGAGUGGGCGUGCGGGGGUUGGUUACAAGGGCGCGAACUAUCACCCGAGCGCAGCAAGUGGAAUCGACGAGUUGAAGUCGAACAACAAGAAGCUGUGCGAAUUCGUGAGAUGAUAUCGACCCUGCCGCUGCCGUUGUCCCGCGGCACCAUCGAAUGGAAAUUGAAAUAUUUCUACGAUGCCUGCGUCGACGUGGACGCCGUGAACGCCGAUGGGGAUCGACCUCUGAAAACCAUCAUCUCCGAAUUAGGUGGAUGGCAUCUGUUGCGGAAUUGGAACACCGAAGACUUCGAUUUCAACGGCCUUCUGCGUACGCUGCAUGUGACCUACGGAGUGUCUCCGUAUUUUAAAAUUACCACAGUGCCAAAUCCCAGAGAACCCGGGAACACCAGCAUUGUAAUCUUACCAGCCGGUUUGGGUCUUCCAGAUAAAAGUUAUUAUUACCUAGAGGAUGAAAAGUACAGCAAAGCAUAUGAACAAUUAAUCACCGACGUCAUCGUCCUGCUGGGACAAUCCACAACCGAUACUCAACGGUCCGCGAAGGAUGUAUAUUCUUACGAGCGUCGCUUAGCUGAAAUCAUGCCGAACCGAGAUGAGUUGCGUGAUCCGAUUAGCACCUACAAUCCGAUGAAAGUGUCUGCGUUGAAAUUAUCUGUCCAACAAAUUCUGCCAUUGCAAGACAUUUUAACAGCCAUGUACCCAGACGCAAACAUCAACGAAGAAACUGAAGUAAUCGUGGCUCAACCGGAUUAUUUAGCGAAGUUAUCGCAAUUGGUGUCGUCCACUGAUAGUCAAACUAGAAAUAGCUACAUGAUGUGGACACUUGUGCGCGAAUAUGUCCCAUAUCUUUCGGCUGACUUUCAGAAGGCCAUUGAUAGAUAUCAUUCGGAAUUGUUUGGAGUAAAGAAUCCGAUUGAACGUUGGGAAUUCUGCUCCAGUCUUGUGCAGCGCUUCAUGCCGAUUGCUAUUGAAGCCGUGCUGGAACGCCAGCAAUCGAUGGGCGAUGCCAAGCACGUUGUGAACCAGAUGUUUGAACAAAUUGCCGCACAACUUCGUCAGGAUUUAGACGAUAAGAUGCGCCGUAACGAUAUUACUUCUGAUUUGCAUUCGAAGUUAAAGAAAAAGCUUGAAUUAGUGAAACUUCAUGUUGGAUUGCCGGACGGUGUAUUGAACGCUACCUUUGUGAAAACCUUCUACAACCGCUUGAACAUCAUCCGAUCGAACCUAUUUGAAAACCACAAGAAAGCGAUAGUUUUCGCGAAGAAACGCGAGGAGCAGCUGUUGCGUGAAUCCUCCACCGAGGAUUACCUCAUGGCGGCCAUCACACGAAGGCCGGCCCAAGUUGAGUACGUGCCCAGCGGGAAUGUCGUGGUCGUUCCGAGAGUGCUUCUCACCGCACCGUACUUUGAGUCGAGAUAUCCCAAGUCGAUUAAUUACGCGAGGAUUGGCAAUGACAUUGCAUUCGCCUUGGUCUCCAGCAUCCUACCGUUCGACAGUGGAUGGACGGCGGAUGCUAAAUUGUUGUCGCAGUAUCAUCUCGCCGUCAACGAGUCCCAGAAAGUUAUUGAUAAACCCACACGAUGCUUGACGAAAUUAAUUGAAGAGAAUCAUUACGUGCAGGCAGACUUUGCCUCGCUAUCAGCAUUAAAUACGUAUAAGUAUUUAACUGCUUUGGAAACUUCAUAUAAUAGUAUGGAAACAAGUUUGAUGAAUAAGGAACAUGUUCACAUCCCAUCUCUAGCAGUCUAUGAAGACUCUGACUUGUUUUAUCUCACAAGCCUCCAGGAACUCUGUACCUUGUCGACUGAUCAACAAAAUUUGCAUGACACACUCGUGAAUCACAAGCUGCCAGAAAACGGCAUGUGCAACAAAGCUGGAAGUGGAACGUAUCCAAUGCCUUGACCUUGGCCGUUAGACAAGGAGACGCCGCCCUUGGUGACAAACCCCAUGAUUUCUCUCGAGCAGGAUGUCCGCAAGCCGGAAGUGCCAAUCGGCGGAAGCCACAGAUAGACAACGUUGGUGCCCAGAAGAAGUUCGAGAGUGCCCCAUGAAGUUUGCAAUAUAGCGGAAGUGUUGGAGAUGCGCGUACUUUAAGGCAAGUCUUUACUACUACGGGAAAUGAUAGUCGCAAAUUGUUUUCUUGUUUAAAAAAAUAUGUAUCUAUUGUUUAAUGUUUUCAAUAAAACACAAUGUAUAAUUAUAA